CCUCUGUCUCCUUCCCCCUUCUUCUCACUCUCCAUGUAAUACCUGAGCUCUGCAUGUGUGAUCUCCAGGCAUGCCAGGUACCCCGGAAUAUGUGAUUCUAGAGCCCAGAGGGAUGGGCAGUUGUUCAUUCCUUGCCUUAACAUCAUUCUAGGAAAUGAGUUGACAAUUUAUUUCCCAGUCAAAGCUUCCAUUUCUACAUAUGAUCUCUUCCAGAAGAUUAUUUCCUGACAACUCUUCAAGGAGUGACUGGUAGCAGGAAAUUCCUGAAAGGAGAAUCCUCAAAGAGCCACCCUCUAAAGAUGGUGAUCACAAAGAUGAGGCGGAUUUGUUACAGUUGAUACCAUCACUUCUAUACCAGCUUCACCAAAACAACGAUACAGUCUUCUUUCCUGUGUGGCAGCGGAUACCUCCUGCAGAUAAGAAAUGCUUAACUGAGAAAUGCUCAUAUUGGGAUAUCACCGAUGAGACUUUAAUUUGGGCAUGGUGACAAUUUCCCUUGCUGCCGCUUGACUCAAUCCCAGGAGCCUCAGUAGAGGAAAUAAUAUUACACAAGAAGCUCAAAAAUGGUGGAAUUGCUCAGUGCUCCCACAAAUACACAUUUAUAAUUUUUAUUUGCCAUAUGAUAAAUUUUUUUAAAAAAUAGGGGGGAUAUUCAAAAGAAACAGCAUGAUUUUUUUCAAAAACUCAAAAUAUAUUUAAGUAAUACAUAAACUAGGUGCCCUCCUCUCUUUCAGUUUUAUCCCAUAGUUUCCUCUUAAGGAGGUGUGUGCAUUCUUUUAGUGGAUAGAUGUGCACAAACACAUACUCAAGUGAUCUGGGGGAGGGGAUCUAGAAGUGGAGCCAUAUUGUAACACAUUCUUGCAAAUUUCCUCUUUCAUCUAGUAGUCUUUUCAAUGGGCUUUUUCUAUUUCAGUAAUACAUACACAUCUGUGUCAUUUGUUGAAUGACUGCAUGACUGUUCUGUAGAUGAAAUAUAAUUAAAUGUCUUAAGGAUUUCUCACUCA